GCCCGGCGGCCCCUCAGCGUCUCCCGCCGCCGCUGCCCCUGCCCUGCGCCGCGCUGGCGGGACUGCGAACGGGGACUUUAUACCGCAAAAACACUCUUCUCUAAAUAAUGUGCUGUUGACAAGUAACUCUGGAACCUUUUCAGUGAUUCUCUGUCACAGUUCGCACACAAAAGGAAACUGACCAACGGGACACAAAAGCCCAAGCAUUCAUGACCCUCCCUAACUGAACAAGCACGGCUUUCCAGAAGAAUUGACAUCACAGAAAAUAAGUUUAGGGUCUGAAGGGUCAAAUACAACCGACACGUGUGAUCACAUUCGUCCUUGGCCAGAGAGUUGUCCCUGACCUCAGGAUUUAUGGACCUGACAUCUUCAACACCUGCAGAGAGUCCACAACCGUACUGGCUUCUCCAGCUCCUGAACUCCAACCCAUCCACAACAAAGGAGCCUGCACUAGACUCCAUGUCCUGAACCUUGUGCAGCUGAACUACUGCCGUGCCACCAUCAAGGUCUGAAAAUCUCACCUUUCUGGAACCACGUACAGAUGCCCGAUCACUGCUGCACAAAGCCAACCCCGAUGCUGUUCUGCCCUGACAUCUCCUCUGCCAGGAGUUCCCUUCCUGAUGAUUCUAAUGCUGAAACAGGUCAAUUGUUGACCACAACUUUCAAUAAAGCGCCUUAGCAUGGAUUAACUCUGGAUACUUUCUCGUUGCUGUACCCUCCGUCAUCUAUGAGCACAUCCAGAUAAAUACUUUGAUUGUAUGUACCCCUGACCUUGACACAGGGCACAACCACAGAGGUGAGCGAGCAUCACAGAGUGGCCAUCACAAAGAAGGUCUGCAGAGUUCAGACCUUGCUCAGGGAAAAGGAGUCUAAUUGUAGGAUUUAGAGAGUUCUUCUGUUCCUAGACUAGA